GCCGGAUCCAGGGACAAUGGGGUGGGGCGGGCUUUCCCUGGGUGGGCGCAGCGGCUUCCUGGGUCCCCCUCACGCUCUGGGUCAGAGUUCCUUUACAGGCGGACCUGAGAGGCAACUCACCGACUCCUGCCCUGGACCCUCCUGCGCCACUGAACCCCCUGACCUGGGAGCCUCGGAACCUAGGGCUCAGGAGUGGCAACUCUAGUGUGUGAGAAAAUUAAUGUGACAGCUGAAUUUGUAGAAAGCUGCUUUGACUCUCUUGGGCCCCUUCAUAAGCCC
rnacentral:lncRNA from 1 species